rnacentral:rRNA from 1 species
UACGUAGGGUGCAAGCGUUAAUCGGAAUUACUGGGCGUAAAGCGUGCGCAGGCGGUGAUGUAAGACAGGUGUGAAAUCCCCGGGCUUAACCUGGGAACUGCAUUUGUGACUGGCAGGCUAGAGUAUGGCAGAGGGGGGUAGAAUUCCACGUGUAGCAGUGGAAUGCGUAGAGAUGUGGAGGAAUACCGAUGGCGAAGGCAGCCCCCUGGGCCAAUACUGACGCUCAUGCACGAAAGCGUGGGGAGCAAACGAGG